CCUACGGGAGGCAGCAGUGAGGAAUAUUGGUCAAUGGACGAGAGUCUGAACCAGCCAAGUAGCGUGAAGGAUGACUGCCCUAUGGUUUAUAAACUUCUUUUAUAAGGGAAUAAAACGCGGCACGCGUCCCUUUUCGCAUGUACUUUAUGAAUAAGGAUCGACUAACUCCGUGCCAGCAGCCGCGGUAAUACGGAGGAUCCGAGCGUUAUCCGGAUUUAUUGGGUUUAAAGGGAGCGUAGAUGGGUUGUUAAGUCAGCUGUGAAAGUUUGCGGCUCAACCGUAAAAUUGCCAUUGAUACUGGCAGUCUUGAGUACAGUUGAGGUAAGCGGAAUGCGUGGUGUAGCGGUGAAAUGCUUAGAUAUCACGCAGAACCCCGAUUGCGAAGGCAGCUUACUAAGCUGUGACUGACAUUGAUGCACGAAAGUGUGGGUAUCAAACAGGAUUAGAUACCCUUGUAGUC
rnacentral:rRNA from 1 species